rnacentral:rRNA from 1 species
GAUGAACGCUGGCGGCGUGCCUAAUACAUGCAAGUCGAGCGAACAGACGAGGAGCUUGCUCCUCUGACGUUAGAGGCGGACGGGUGAGUAACACGUGGAUAACCUACCUAUAAGACUGGGAUAACUUCGGGAAACCGGAGCUAAUACCGGAUAAUAUAUUGAACCGCAUGGUUCAAUAGUGAAAGACGGUUUUGCUGUCACUUAUAGAUGGAUCCGCGCCGCAUUAGCUAGUUGGUAAGGUAACGGCUUACCAAGGCAACGAUGCGUAGCCGACCUGAGAGGGUGAUCGGCCACACUGGAACUGAGACACGGUCCAGACUCCUACGGGAGGCAGCAGUAGGGAAUCUUCCGCAAUGGGCGAAAGCUUGACGGAGCAACGCCGCGUGAGUGAUGAAGGUCUUCGGAUCGUAAAACUCUGUUAUUAGGGAAGAACAAAUGUGUAAGUAACUAUGCACGUCUUGACGGUACCUAAUCAGAAAGCCACGGCUAACUACGUG